ensembl:lncRNA
GUGAGAUAAAUUUGCCAAGGAUCAGCUUCUGUCUCUGGCUACAUUCCCCCCUCCUCAGUGAAACAGCAUUUAAAAGGAAACAUCCCUGAAUCAUUUUUUACUAAUGAUUGAACAACAGCAUGGUCACUUCCUCCUGCUGGCUGUAGUCUUCCUUCUUCCCAGAACAGGUUAGGAAUAAAAGACACAAUGAUAUGGAAACAUUUCCCAGAAACUACAUUUCCAACUUUGUUAUUAAUCUCUCAAAUCUAAAUAGAGGUGCUAAAGUGGAACGCACAGAAAAAUAAGGCCUUGAUUUUUAUUUUUGUUUUAUUUAAAGCAUUUUCACCAAGCACGAGAUAAAAGUGAAUUUUAUUGACUCCCAAGUGACCAAUACAUAGUAUGAGAUUUAUCUUCUGUAGCUUUUGCCUACUGGUCUGCCAUGAAGAAUAAUAACAACAUUUACGACUAAAAGUAAAUUUAGUGCUUGUGUCACACCAACAUUGGAUAAAAGUGCUAACACUCAAUAAUUACCUUGUUGCUAACUUGGCCUUGAUAAGAAAGCAUUCUUUUUAAAAGUACAUGACUGGUCAUGUAAUUUUGUAGACGAGUAGUUCAUUAAGAAACAAAAAAGCAAAUCUAGUGAAUCUGAGUUAAAGACAAUGACUUAGUAAAAGCUCUGAUGAACUAUGAAAGAUAACGUUGGGUGGCACAGAUUUCCUUCCCUCCCUCCCCUCUCCCAUCCCUGAUAUCUGAGAGUCAUUAAAGUGCAUAUAAUAGGGUUAUUGUGUUGAUUAGUUGCUCAGUUGUGUCUGACUCUUUGCGGCCCCUUGGACUGUAGGCUCCUCUCUCCACGGGAUUUCCCAGACAAGAAUACUGCAGUAGGUUGCCAUUUCUUCCUCCAGGGGAUCUUUCUGACUCAGGAUUGAACUUAGGUCUCCUACGUCUCCUGUAUUGUAGGCGAAUUCUUCACCACUGUGUCACCUGGGAAGCCUUGUAAUAUGCUUAUAUGCCUUCCUUAAAAAUGAUGUCUAUUAAGCAUGCUUACCCUUUGCAUAGAAAGAGAUAGUUCAAGGUUAUGCUAAAUAAAAUAUUAUAUGUGCCAUUUAUAUGAAAAGUUGCCUAAGGCAAAAAAUGUGGAAUAUGUUUAUCUAUCCUUCUGCUUUGUGUCCCAGAUUUAGCACCAAUAUGUGCCCUGAAUUGGAUUAAGCCUUCAGAAUAUUUUCAAAAGGACCCUCAAAAGAUGGACUCUAGCAUCAAAGGUCUUUUUCUUUUUUUAAAAAAAUUUUUUGUUGCACCACACGGCAUGUGGGAAUCUUAGUUGCCCAACCAGGGAUGGAACCCAUGCCCUCUGCAUUAGAAGCAUGGACUCUUAACCACUGGACCUCUAGGG